rnacentral:rRNA from 1 species
AUGAACGCUGGCGGCGUGCCUCAUACAUGCCAGUCGAGCGAACAGAUGAGGAGCUUGCUCCUCUGACGUUAGCGGCGGACGGGUGAGUAACACGUGGAUAACCUACCUAUAAGACUGGGAUAACUUCGGGAAACCGGAGCUAAUACCGGAUAAUAUAUUGAACCGCAUGGUUCAAUAGUGAAAGACGGUUUUGCUGUCACUUAUAGAUGGAUCCGCGCCGCAUUAGCUAGUUGGUAAGGUAACGGCUUACCAAGGCAACGAUGCGUAGCCGACCUGAGAGGGGGAUGGGGCAGACGGGAACUGAGACACGGUACAGACUACAACGGGAGGAAGCAGUAGGGAAUGUUAAGGAAUGGGCGAAAGCCGGACGGAGCAACGCCGCGGGAGUGAAGAAGGUAGUCGGAUCGUAAAAAGCUGUUAUUAGGGAAGAACAAAAGUGUAAGUAACUAUGCACGUCGUGACGGAACCUAAUCAGAAAGCCAAGGCUAACUACGUG